rnacentral:rRNA from 1 species
CAGGGAAUCUUGCACAAUGGACGAAAGUCUGAUGCAGCGACGCCGCGUGGGGGAUGAAGGCCCUAGGGUCGUAAACCCCUUUCAGUGGGGACGAAAAUGACGGUACCCACAGAAGAAGGUCCGGCCAACUACGUGCCAGCAGCCGCGGUAAGACGUAGGGACCGAGCGUUGUCCGGAAUUAUUGGGGGUAAAGAGCUCGUAGGCGGUUGCGUAAGUCGGAUGUGAAAGCUCAGGGCUCAACCCUGAGACGCCAUCCGAUACUGCGCUGACUUGAAUCCAGUAGGGGAGUGUGGAAUUCCUGGUGUAGCGGUGAAAUGCGCAGAUAUCAGGAGGAACACCUAUGGCGAAGGCAGCACUCUGGGCCAUUCCUGACGCUGAGACGCGAAAGCGUGGGGAG